UACGGAGGGUGCUAGCGUUGUCCGGAUUUACUGGGCGUAAAGAGCGCGCAGGCGGUCGUUCAAGUCGAGUGUGAAAGCCCCCGGCUCAACUGGGGAGGGUCACUCGAUACUGAUCGACUCGAAGGCAGGAGAGGGAAGUGGAAUUCCCGGUGUAGUGGUGAAAUGCGUAGAUAUCGGGAGGAACACCAGUGGCGAAGGCGACUUCCUGGCCUGUUCUUGACGCUGAGGCGCGAAAGCUAGGGGAGCAAACGGG
rnacentral:rRNA from 1 species